UACGUAGGUGACCAGCGUUGUCCGGAUUUACUGGGCGUAAAGAGCGCGCAGGCGGUCGUUCAAGUCGAGUGUGAAAGCCCCCGGCUCAACUGGGGAGGGUCACUCGAUACUGAUCGACUUGAAGGCAGGAGAGGGAAGCGGAAUUCCCGGUGUAGUGGUGAAAUGCGUAGAUAUCGGGAGGAACACCAGUGGCGAAGGCGGCUCACUGGCCCGAUACUGACGCUGAGGCACGAAAGCGUGGGGAGCAAACAGG
rnacentral:rRNA from 1 species